rnacentral:rRNA from 1 species
GUCCACGCCCUAAACGAUGUCUACUAGUUGUCGGGUCUUAAUUGACUUGGUAACGCAGCUAACGCGUGAAGUAGACCGCCUGGGGAGUACGGUCGCAAUAUUAAAACUCAAAGGAAUUGACGGGGACCCGGCACAAGCGGUGGAUGAUGUGGAUUAAUUCGAUGCAACGCGAAAACCUUAACCUACCCUUGACAUUGCAAGAAUCCCUGAGAGAUUGGGGAGUGCUCGAAAGAGAACUUGUACACAGGUGCUGCAUGGCUGUCGU